rnacentral:rRNA from 1 species
GACGAACGCUGGCGGCGUGCUUAACACAUGCAAGUCGAACGGAAAGGCCCUGCUUUUGUGGGGUGCUCGAUUGGCGAACGGGUGAGUAACACGCGAGUAACCUGUCCUUGACUUUGGGAUAACUUCUGGAAACUGGGGCUAAUACCGGAUAGGAGCUCCUGCUGCAUGGUGGGGGUUGGAAAGUUUCGGCGGUUGGGGAUGGACUCGCGGCUUAUCAGCUUGUUGGUGAGGUAGUGGCAUACCAAGGGUUUGACGGGUAGCCGGCCUGAGAGCGUGACCGGGCACAAGGGGACUGAGAGACGGCCCAGACGCCAACGGGAGGCAACAGUGGAGAAUAUUACACAAUGGGCGGGAGCCUGAGACAACGACGCCGCGUGCGGGAUGACCGCCUUCGGGUUAUAAACCACUUUCGCCUGUGACGAAGCGUGAGUGACGGUAAUGAGUAAAAAAGCCCCGGCUAACUACGUG